rnacentral:rRNA from 1 species
GACGUAGGGCGCGAGCGUUGUCCGGAUUUAUUGGGCGUAAAGAGCUCGUAGGCGGUUUGUCGCGUCGUUCGUGAAAACCCACGGCUUAACUGUGGGCUUGCGGUCGAUACGGGCAGGCUAGAGUUCGGUAGGGGAGACUGGAAUUCCUGGUGUAGCGGUGAAAUGCGCAGAUAUCAGGAGGAACACCGGUGGCGAAGGCGGCCCCCUGGGCCGAACCUGACGCUGAGGCGCGAAGGCUAGGGGAGCGAACGGG